rnacentral:misc_RNA from 1 species
AUGCGAUACGUAAUGUGAAUUGCAGAUUUCAGUGAAUCAUCGAAUCUUUGAACGCACAUUGCGCCCGCCAGUAUUCUGGCGGGCAUGCCUGUUCGAGCGUCAUUUCAACCAUCAAGCGCCUCGCUUGUGUUGGGGCCCUGCGGCUGCCGCAGGCUCCUAAAUCCAGUGGCGGGCUCGUCGUGGUACCGAGUGCAGUAAACAUCCUCGCUCAGGGAACCCGACGGGUGCCGGCCGUGAAACCCCCCCUCCUUAAGGUUGACCUCGGAUCAGGUAGGAAUACCCGCUGAACUUAA